AUGAACGCUAGCUACAGGCUUAACACAUGCAAGUCGAGGGGCAGCAUGGUCUUAGCUUGCUAAGGCCGAUGGCGACCGGCGCACGGGUGAGUAACACGUAUCCAACCUGCCGUCUACUCUUGGACAGCCUUCUGAAAGGAAGAUUAAUACAAGAUGGCAUCAUGAGUCCACAUGUUCACAUGAUUAAAGGUAUUCCGGUAGACGAUGGGGAUGCGUUCCAUUAGAUAGUAGGCGGGGUAACGGCCCACCUAGUCUUCGAUGGAUAGGGGUUCUGAGAGGAAGGUCCCCCACAUUGGAACUGAGACACGGUCCAAACUCCUACGGGAGGCAGCAGUGAGGAAUAUUGGUCAAUGGGCGAGAGCCUGAACCAGCCAAGUAGCGUGAAGGAUGACUGCCCUAUGGGUUGUAAACUUCUUUUAUAAAGGAAUAAAGUCGGGUAUGGAUACCCGUUUGCAUGUACUUUAUGAAUAAGGAUCGGCUAACUCCGUGCCAGCAGCCGCGGUAAUACGGAGGAUCCGAGCGUUAUCCGGAUUUAUUGGGUUUAAAGGGAGCGUAGAUGGAUGUUUAAGUCAGUUGUGAAAGUUUGCGGCUCAACCGUAAAAUUGCAGUUGAUACUGGAUAUCUUGAGUGCAGUUGAGGCAGGCGGAAUUCGUGGUGUAGCGGUGAAAUGCUUAGAUAUCACGAAGAACUCCGAUUGCGAAGGCAGCCUGCUAAGCUGCAACUGACAUUGAGGCUAGAAAGUGUGGGUAUCAAACAGGAUUAGAUACCCUGGUAGUCCACACGGUAAACGAUGAAUACUCGCUGUUUGCGAUAUACAGCAAGCGGCCAAGCGAAAGCGUUAAGUAUUCCACCUGGGGAGUACGCCGGCAACGGUGAAACUCAAAGGAAUUGACGGGGGCCCGCACAAGCGGUGGAGUAUGUGGUUUAAUUCGACGCAACGCGAAGAACCUUACCAGGGCUUGACAUCCUACUAACGAAGUAGAGAUACAUUAGGUGCCCUUCGGGGAAAGUAGAGACAGGUGGUGCAUGGUUGUCGUCAGCUCGUGCCGUGAGGUGUCGGCUUAAGUGCCAUAACGAGCGCAACCCUUGUUGUCAGUUACUAACAGGAUUUGCUGAGGACUCUGACAAGACUGCCAUCGUAAGAUGUGAGGAAGGUGGGGAUGACGUCAAAUCAGCACGGCCCUUACGUCCGGGGCUACACACGUGUUACAAUGGGGGGUACAGAGGGCCGCUACCACGCGAGUGGAUGCCAAUCCCCAAAACCUCUCUCAGUUCGGACUGGAGUCUGCAACCCGACUCCACGAAGCUGGAUUCGCUAGUAAUCGCGCAUCAGCCACGGCGCGGUGAAUACGUUCCCGGGCCUUGUACACACCGCCCGUCAAGCCAUGGGAGCCGGGGGUACCUGAAGUGCGUAACCGCGAGGAGCGCCCUAGGGUAAAACUGGUGACUGGGGCU
rnacentral:rRNA from 1 species